AUUGAACGCUGGCGGCAUGCCUUACACAUGCAAGUCGAACGGCAGCACGGGUGCUUGCACCUGGUGGCGAGUGGCGAACGGGUGAGUAAUACAUCGGAACAUGUCCUGUAGUGGGGGAUAGCCCGGCGAAAGCCGGAUUAAUACCGCAUACGAUCUACGGAUGAAAGCGGGGGACCUUCGGGCCUCGCGCUAUAGGGUUGGCCGAUGGCUGAUUAGCUAGUUGGUGGGGUAAAGGCCUACCAAGGCGGCGAUCAGUAGCUGGUCUGAGAGGACGACCAGCCACACUGGGACUGAGACACGGCCCAGACUCCUACGGGAGGCAGCAGUGGGGAAUUUUGGACAAUGGGCGAAAGCCUGAUCCAGCAAUGCCGCGUGUGUGAAGAAGGCCUUCGGGUUGUAAAGCACUUUUGUCCGGAAAGAAAUCCUUGGCCCUAAUACGGUCGGGGGAUGACGGUACCGGAAGAAUAAGCACCGGCUAACUACGUG
rnacentral:rRNA from 1 species